UACGUAGGUGGCAAGCGUUGUCCGGAUUUACUGGGCGUAAAGAGCGCGCAGGCGGUCGAAUAAGUCGAAUGUGAAAGCCCCCGGCUUAACUGGGGAGGGUCAUUCGAUACUGCUCGACUUGAAGGCAGGAGAGGGUAGUGGAAUUCCCGGUGUAGUGGUGAAAUGCGUAGAUAUCGGGAGGAACACCAGUGGCGAAGGCGGCUUCCUGGACCAGCACCGACGUUCAGGCACGAAGGCGUGGGGAGCAAACAGG
rnacentral:rRNA from 1 species